UACGUAGGUCCCGAGCGUUGUCCGGAUUUAUUGGGCGUAAAGCGAGCGCAGGCGGUUCCUUAAGUCUGAUGUGAAAGCCCCCGGCUCAACCGGGGAGGGUCAUUGGAAACUGGGGAACUUGAGUGCAGAAGAGGAGAGUGGAAUUCCAUGUGUAGCGGUGAAAUGCGUAGAUAUAUGGAGGAACACCAGUGGCGAAGGCGACUCUCUGGUCUGUAACUGACGCUGAGGCUCGAAAGCGUGGGUAGCAAACAGG
rnacentral:rRNA from 1 species